UACGUAGGGUGCGAGCGUUGUCCGGAAUUAUUGGGCGUAAAAGAGCUUGUAGGCGGUCUGUCGCGUCUGCUGUGAAAAUCCGGGGCUCAACCCCGGACUUGCAGUGGGUACGGGCAGACUAGAGUGUGGUAGGGGAGACUGGAAUUCCUGGUGAUAGCGGUGAAAUGCGCAGAUAUCAGGAGGGAACACCGAUGGCGAAGGCAGGU
rnacentral:rRNA from 1 species